rnacentral:rRNA from 1 species
AUUGAACGCUGGCGGCAUGCCUUACACAUGCAAGUCGAACGGCAGCACGGGUGCUUGCACCUGGUGGCGAGUGGCGAACGGGUGAGUAAUAUAUCGGAACGUACCUUAUUGUGGGGGAUAACGCAGCGAAGGCUGUGCUAAUACCGCAUAAUCCCUAAGGGGGAAAGCGGGGGACCGUAAGGCCUCGCGCAAUUAGAGCGGCCGAUACCUGAUUAGCUAGUUGGUGAGGUAAAGGCUCACCAAGGCAACGAUCAGUAGCUGGUCUGAGAGGACGAUCAGCCAGACUGGGACUGAGACACGGCCCAGACUCCUACGGGAGGCAGCAGUGGGGAAUUUUGGACAAUGGGGGCAACCCUGAUCCAGCAAUGCCGCGUGAGUGAAGAAGGCCUUCGGGUUGUAAAGCUCUUUUGUCAGGGAAGAAACAGCAGCUCUAACACAGUAUGCGAAUGACGGUACCUGAAGAAUAAGCACCGGCUAACUACGUGCCAGCCGCCGCAGUAA